GACGAACGCUGGCGGCGUGCCUAAUACAUGCAAGUUGAGCGCUGAAGGUUGGUACUUGUACCAACUGGAUGAGCAGCGAACGGGUGAGUAACGCGUGGGGAAUCUGCCUUUGAGCGGGGGACAACAUUUGGAAACGAAUGCUAAUACCGCAUAAAAACUUUAAACACAAGUUUUAAGUUUGAAAGAUGCAAUUGCAUCACUCAAAGAUGAUCCCGCGUUGUAUUAGCUAGUUGGUGAGGUAAAGGCUCACCAAGGCGAUGAUACAUAGCCGACCUGAGAGGGUGAUCGGCCACAUUGGGACUGAGACACGGCCCAAACUCCUACGGGAGGCAGCAGUAGGGAAUCUUCGGCGAUGGACGUAAGUCUGACCGAGCAACGCCGCGUGAGUGAAGAAGGUUUUCGGAUCGUAAAACUCUGUUGGUAGAGAAGAACGUUGGUGAGAGUGGAAAGCUCAUCAAGUGACGGUAACUACCCAGAAAGGGACGGCUAACUACGUG
rnacentral:rRNA from 1 species